rnacentral:pre_miRNA from 1 species
AUUCUACUCCCUCCGUUCGGAAUUACUUGUCGCAGAAAUGGAUGUAUCUAGACAUAUUUUAGUUCUAGAUACAUUCAUUUCCGAGACAAGUAAUUCCGAACGGAGGAAGUAAAAG